UUGGGCCCCAGCUGAAAGCUUGUGAAAAUGCUGCUCUGCUGUUGUGGAUCUGGUCCCAUCACCUCCUGUGAACUCGCUGAUACCUCACCACUGUAAGAGACAGCAAGAUCUGGCAGCUCUGUGCAUCUCCAGUAUCUCCAGCAUGUUCCCCUUCAAUUGCUUCUUUUCAAGUGAAAAGGGCUCAUCUCUCCUGCUGCUACAGCCAUUUUAA
rnacentral:lncRNA from 12 species